CGGCGGACGGGUGAGUAACGCGUAGGAAUCUACCCAGUAGUGGGGGACAACAUGGUGAAAACCAUGCUAAUACCGCAUACGCCCUAUGGGGGAAAGCGGGGGACCUUCGGGCCUCGCGCUAUUGGAUGAGCCUGCGUCGGAUUAGCUUGUUGGUGAGGUAAAAGCUCACCAAGGCGACGAUCCGUAGCUGGUCUGAGAGGAUGAUUAGCCACACUGGAACUGAGACACGGUCCAG
rnacentral:rRNA from 1 species